UAAUGAUGCACAAAACCUGCAUAUUAAAACGAAUUAGAAGAUGUAGUACAAAUGUAGAUUGAGAAGAUUAAAUUUGUCAAUGAAAAUACCCUGAAUUAAAAACAUUUAUCUCACAUAAGGGCCUCCUAUUUCUAGCCGAAUUUUUUUCACUUGUCACCUUUUUCAAAUUUGUCUUAUCAAACACCGACUUGACUGGCGUUUGACUAAACUGUUUGGUUUGACAAUGACCCUGAAAUAGAGUCGAAAUAUUACCACCAUAAUUUGUGUCUUGUUUUCUUCCAAAUAACUCAAAAAUUGUCUGCUGGUAAAGGAUUUCAAAGCAAUAAGCCCAAAUGUUGUCUCCUCCAAAAAAAUCUGAGGUAAUGGAAAGAAACACUAAAGCGAAUAAAAACUGUUUUUAUAACUUUUUAGAACUAAUAUAUUUAGAAAUAGCCCGCUUUUACAUGCUAUUAACAUUUUUAAUACUAUAAAGAACGGAUAGGAUAGUAAAUAAUUGUAAUUUAAUAUAUACUAUAGUUGUAAACUAC